rnacentral:lncRNA from 1 species
GGAGAGGAAUGUAUUUUUAUUUGCAGCUUUAAUAAAAAUACCCUUUAAGUGAAUUGUGCUUGGUAAAUUGGCUUUUGGAAAGAUGAAAUAUCCCUUAAGUGAUAAUACGUGACAACUGUCUGUAACAAUUGCCAAUGCCCAAUGAAGCUCAUCUUCCAAAAUCUAAAAAUUUUCAGUUAAAAGAUUCUCAGGCUUGACCAUAUCUUGAAUAUCAAUAAAACCUGAUUUUGUCCAUGUGAUUUUUAAAAACAUUUUCUAAUGUUUUUAUCUUUAAUAACAUACAACAAUGAAAAACAGCACAACUAUCUCAGAAAGAGAAAGUAUUCAAAGCAUUAUUUGGGGAGUUCUCAUUGUGGCUCAGGGGGCUAAGAACCUGACUAGCAUCCAUGAGGAUUCGGGUUUGAUCCCUGGCCUCUCUAACUGGGUUAAGGAUCCAGUGUUGUCGCAAAUUGCAGUGCAGGUCACGGAUGCAGCUCAGAUCUGGCAUUGCUGUGGCUGUGGCAUAGGGAACUUCCACAUGCCACAAGUGAAGCCCUACAAAGACCUGAAAAAAAAAAAAAAAAGAAAAGCGUUACUUUGUUAGGAAUGACUAUGUUCUGAAUAUUGAAGGACAACUCACUUGCUAAAAACGAGUUGUCCUUUAUGCUCUGAGACUGUUCACAAAAAAAUCUGCAGGACUGGCAUAAAGAUAUCCACGAUGAUCGUGUUCCCAGGAUGCAGCAGAACAGUGCCAAUGAGGCAAAAAUUACCCUAAGAAUUUUUAUCCUUUCCAGAACCAUAACCAAGUGAAUAAUAAAUAUUAUUAAAAGUACAUAGAUCAUGGAAGUACUUUUAAAUAAGCACUCUCUGAGAUAUGGGUUCACAAGACUGAACUCAACCAAGUGAAGUCCCUGUAGUAACAGUUCCUUCUUUUGAGGGGAGAGGUAGAGGUUAGAGUUCUAAAAAGACGGUGGCAAUGAUGGCACGACUGAGUCAAGUAAACAGUAAGAAAGGUUGGUCCUAAGGGGACAGUUGAGAAGAGAGGCUCAUGAACUGGCUGGGCUGUAUCAUCAGGUCUUGGUACCUUCGAAGACGUCAAGGAAGAAGACUGAAUAAGGAGUCAGGUGAGACUGGUUAGCGUGGUGGGAAUUAGUUCAAAGGGUUACGUGAAUGAAAACCCAAAAACUUGGAAUGUAAUUAGGAGGCUGGGGAGUUAUCCUAAGGAAGGAAAUAGCUGUGUUGUUGUAUGUGCUACUAAGAAAGGGAUUCUGAGUUGGUUACCGAUAUUCAAGCACUUGCACUAAGUAGGUGUGUUCAACAGGUACAGGUGGGGUGAGUUUGACAGACAUUCCAGAUGAGAGGGGAAAGCCCUAGGGUUACACUACUUUGUGAAUCCCAAAGUGGGAGGGAGAGGUCGUGAAAUAAGAGUUAAAAGCAUGAGCUUUAGAAAUCAAAUGGAUCUGAGUGAUAGUUUAUUAACCAGAUCUUUGGUCAAAUAUUAUUCUAGGCGUUUCUCUGAGGGGGUUUCUGGAUGAGAGUGACCUUAAAUUGGAAGACAAGUAGAUGGUGCUGCAUAAUGUAGGCGGGCCUCAUCCAGUCAACUGAAGGCUUGAAAGACAAAAAGGGAGUUCCUGCCCUUACUCAGUGGAAACAAAUCUGACUAGUAUCCAUGAGGAUGCAGGUUCAAUCCCUGGCCUUGCUCAGUGGGUUAAGGAUCUGGCAUUGCCAUGAGCUGUGGUGUAGGUUGCAGAUGCAGCUCAGAUGUGGAAUUGUGGCUGUGUCGUAGGCCAGCGGCUACAGCUCUGAUUCAACCCCUAACCUGAAAACCACCCUAUACUUAGGCCCUAAAAAAGACAAAAUGACGGACUUUCCCCCAUGGAAAAGGCAAUUCUUUCCACCCCAUAGCCUUCAAACUAGAACACUGACUUUUUCCUGCCUUCUGGACUCAGAAUGGAAUGAUAGCUUUGGCCCUCCUGGGUGUCUGGAUAGCCAACCACCCUGCAGAUUUGGGGAUCUGCCAACCUCCACAAUCACAUGAGCCAAUUCCCUAUAUCCUCAUAAUAAACCUCUCUCUAUAAGUAUAUGAUAUAUUACAUUAUACACAUACACAAAUAUUUACAACCUAUUGGCUCUGUUUCUUUGGAGAAUCCCAAUAUAACCUGUUUCUUAAUAACUGUGUGACCCAAGCAAGCCCCUUAACCUCCCUGAAGCUAUAAAAUGGAAUUAAAAAUCCAUUGAGCAUAGGAUUGUAACAAGGAUUAUUUGAAAUAAUGUUAUGAAGCACCGAGCACAGGGCCUGGCACAUACUGCUCAAUAAAUGGAAGUUGUCAAUACUAUUUUUAUUAUUAUUACUAUAGAAGGCUCUCUUUCAAGAAAAAAAUCCAGGUAAAGCAGGGUGGUAGGAAAGUGAGUAGGAAUUGACAAGGCUUCACCAAACCAACAGCAAAUUGUCCCUUGUUCUUUCCUUCUAAUCCUCUCUUAUUUUCACAAAAGCGAUUUUCUCUGUUUCAUCACACUCUUUGCAUGGGAAAAUUCAGAGCUGAACCACUUUCUAAAAGCUUAAUUAUAAUCUUGUUUAAAAUUGUCCAAAUAUUAAAUUUGUGUGGAACAACCACUAUGGAGCACAGUAUGGAGGGAGCUUAGAAAACUACAUAGAACUACCAUACGACCCAGAAAUCCCACUCUUGGGCAUAUAUCCAGACAAAACUUUCCUUGAAAAAGACACAUGCACUUGCAUGCUCCCUGCAGCACUAUUCACAAUAGCCAAGACAUGGAAACAACCUAAAUGUCCAUCGAUAAAUGAUUGGAUUAAGAAGAUGUGGUGUAUAUAUACACACAAUGGAAUACUACUCAGCCUUAAAAAACAACAAAAUAAUGCCAUUUGCAGCAACAUGGAUGGAACUAGAGACUCUCAUACUACGUGAAGUCAGAAAGACAAAUACCACAUGGUAUCACUUACAUCUGGAAUCUAACAUAUGGCACAAAUGAACCUUUCCACAGAAAAUAAAAUCAUGGGCAUGGAGAACAGCUUUGUAGCUGUCAAGGGGAGGCGGAGGGAGUGGGAUGGACUGGGAAUUUGGGGUUAAUAGAUGUAAACGAUUGCCUUUGGAAUGGAUAAGCAAUGAGAUCCUGCUGUAAAGCACUGGGAACUAUAUCCAGUCAUUUACGAUGGGACAUGAUAAUGUGAGAAAAAAGAAUGUAUACAUGUAUGUGUGACUGGGUCACCUUGCUGUACAGGAGAAAACUGACAGAAUACUGCAAACCAGCUAUGAUGGAGAAAUAAAAAUCACCACAAAAUAUAAAAUAAAAUAAAUAAAAUUGUCCAAAUAUUCACCCACUCUCUCUUAACUUAAACAUAGUGGACUUGAUCCCUUUGCUGUACAGUGGGAAAAGAAAAAAGGAAAAAGAAAAAAACAUAGUGGAUGUAGAAAGGGGACCUUCUGACUUAGUGUGUUGCAGUGGUACUGAGUUAUUACAGGAAAUAUUAGGAGUCACGGCAACAUAGUAUGUAUAUAUUUUCUUUUUUCCCCUUUUUCAGCACCCAUUGUUAGGGCAACACCACAGACACAAGCAGGAUCACUAACCCACUGAGCCACAGCGGGAACUCCUGAUUUUCAAAACUCAAUCUCUGAUAGCAACUUAUUUUGCUGCCAGCCUUUCAUAAAAGUAAGUGAGGCAACAAUGCCAGUUUGCUUAGAAUUUUGGCUCGUAAAGCUUUACUGUAAAAAUCCCCCUUUGACAAUUCUAAAGAAAAGAAUAAGUACAAUCUCUUCAUUUUAUAUCUUUAAAUCUUUUCUUAAGGUAGACAUGAGAUAUCAUUGUGCGGAAACAAAUUCUAUCACAAAUGUAAACAUUCCAUUUAGCACCAGUCUUAACUAUCCAAUGGUGAUUCUGAAAUUCCUACAUAUAUUUUUUUGGUCUUUUGUGUUUUUUAGGGCCACACCCGCAGCAUAUGGAGGUUCCCAGGCCAGGGGUUGAAUUGGAGCUGUAGCUGCUGCCUACACCACAGCCACAGUAAUGCCAGAUCCAAACAGCAUCUGCGACUUACACCACAGCUCAUGGCAACACCAAAUCCUUAACCCACUGAAUGAGGCCAGGGAUCGAACCCAUGUCUUCAUGGAUACUAGUCGGGUUCGUUAACCACUGAACCAUGACGGGAACUCCUGAAAUUCUUAUGUUUUAAAAAAAUAAAAACUAGCCAACUCCUUUGUGAAAAGAACCUGACCAGUGCCAAUGUGUAAAUUAGUCCUGGCCUGCAGACCAAAUAAUGGUCUAUCAUCUUGAAAAGUAUAGUACACUAUUUAGAGUUUGAUUGUUGGUUUUAUUUCUUUGGCUUCUUCCUCAUGGGUGGUGAUGGUGGGGGGAGUGGGCCUGGAAAAGAAGGGACAUGUGUCCCCCACAGCAGUGUCCACAGCCCAAUCCUCCCAACUAUAAAAAAAAAAAGUCGCCCUUCCCCAUAUGUGCAAUCUGGUUUGGAAAACUCACAUUUAUUCAACGAAACAAAAACACCACAAAAAAAAAAGGUAGCUCUUACCACAUGCAAGCGCUAUUGUAGAUGCUAGAGAUACAAAGACAGACAGGAGUUCACAGUCCCAGGAGUGGAAGAAACAAAACAUGUAAGUGAACAGUCACAACCGUGAAAAUAACUGAAACAAAACACCGAAAAAAAAGGUAGCUCUUACCACAUGCAAGCGCUAUUGUAGAUGCUAGAGAUACAAAGACAGAUGGGAAUUCAUAGCCCCAGGAGUGGAAGAAACAAACAUGUAAGUGAACAGUCACAACAGUGAACAGAAACUGAAUUAACAGAUGUGAUUCAGAGCAGGUACAACUUC